rnacentral:rRNA from 1 species
GAUUAACGCUGGCGGCGUGCCUAACACAUGCAAGUCGAACGGGAUUAGAUUUUAAUGAAGUGUUUGUAGUAAUACAAGUAUGGAGUUAGAAUUUGGUCAAGUGGCGGACGGGUGAGUAACGUGUGAACAAACUGCCUUUUAGAGCGGGAUAACAGAUAGAAAUAUCUGCUAAUACCGUAUAAGACCACAAUGUCGCAUGACAAAGGGGUAAAAGGGGCUACGUAAGUAGCUCGCUGAAAGAGGUGUUCGCAUACUAUUAGUUAGUUGGUGAGGUAACGGCCCACCAAGACAACGAUGGUUAGCCGAUCUGAGAGGAUGUACGGCCACAUUGGAACUGAGAAACGGUCCAAACUCCUACGGGAGGCAGCAGUGAGGAAUAUUGGGCAAUGGAGGGAACUCUGACCCAGCAACGCCGCGUGAAGGAAGAAGGUCUUCGGAUUGUAAACUUCUGUUAUAGAGGAAAAAACAAAUGAUGGUACUCUAUAAGUAAGCUACGGCAAACUAUGUGCCAGCAGCUGCGGUAAUACAUAGGUAGCAAGCGUUAUCCGGAAUAACUGGGCGUAAAGGGAGCGUAGGUGGCGAGGCAAGUUGUAUGUGAAACCCCUUGGCUUAACCAAGGAAGUGCAUACAAAACUGUUUUGCUAGAGUGUAAGAGAGGCAAAUGGAAUUCCUAGUGUAGCGGUAGAAUGCGUAGAGAUUAGGAGGAACACCGGAGGCGAAGGCGAUUUGCUGGAUUACAACUGACACUGAGGCUCGAAAGCGUGGGGAGCAAACAGGAUUAGAUACCCUGGUAGUCCACGCUGUAAACGAUGGAUACUGGAUGUGGGGAGAAUCGACUCUUUCCGUAUCGAAGCAAAACGCGAUAAGUAUCCCGCCUGAGUAGUACGGCCGCAAGGUUGAAACUUAAAGGAAUUGACGGGGACCCGCACAAGCAGCGGAGCGCGUCGUUUAAUUCGACGCAACACGAAGAACCUUACCAAGGCUUGACAUUAAAGUGAACGUCUGUGGAAACACAGUUGGUCGUGUGGUAGUAAUACCAUACGCACUUCAACAGAUGGUGCAUGGUUGUCGUCAGCUCGUGUCGUGAGAUGUUAGGUUAAGUCCUGCAACGAGCGCAACCCUUAUGAUUAGUUGCCAAUAUUAAGUUAGGAACUCUAAUCAGACUGCCGUAGAUAAUACGGAGGAAGGUGGGGAUGACGUCAAAUCAUCAUGCCUCUUACGCCUUGGGCAACAAACGCGCUACAAUGGUUACAACAAAGAGAUGCGAAGUAGUAAUACGGAGCAAACCUCAAAAAAGUAAUCUCAGUUCAGAUUGUGGGCUGCAACCCGACUGUAUGAAGACGGAAUUGCUAGUAAUCGCGGAUCAGCAUGCCGCGGUGAAUACGUUCCCGGGCCUUGUACACACCGCCCGUCACACCAUGAGAGCCGGAAAUACCCGAAGUCGUUAGUGUAACCGAAAGGAGCGCAGCGCCGAAGGUAGGUUUGGUAAUUGGGGUG